rnacentral:sRNA from 1 species
GCUGGGCGUGGUGGUGCAUGCCUGUAAUCCCAGCAGCUCAGGAGGCUGAGGCAAGAGAAUCGUGGGUUCAAAGUCAGCCUCGACUAUUUAGCGAGGCCCAAAGCAACUCGGUGGAGACCCUGUCUCUA